AUACGUAGGGGGCGAGCGUUGUCCGGAAUGAUUGGGCGUAAAGGGCGCGUAGGCGGCCCGGUAAGUCUGGAGUGAAAGUCCUGUUUUUAAGAUGGGAAUUGCUUUGGAUACUGUCGGGCUUGAGUGCAGGAGAGGUAAGUGGAAUUCCCAGUGUAGCGGUGAAAUGCGUAGAGAUUGGGAGGAACACCAGUGGCGAAGGCGACUUACUGGACUGUAACUGACGCUGAGGCGCGAAAGUGUGGGGAGCAAACAGGAUUAGAUACCCUGGUAGUCCACACUGUAAACGAUGAAUGCUAGGUGUAGGGGGUAUCGACCCCUUCUGUGCCGCAGUCAACACAAUAAGCAUUCCGCCUGGGGAGUACGUUCGCAAGAAUGAAACUCAAAGGAAUUGACGGGG
rnacentral:rRNA from 1 species